rnacentral:rRNA from 1 species
AUGACGGUCAAGCAUAUCUCUUCACCAAGGUCGGACCACUGUGUGGUUGCGACAAGGAUAAGGAGAUUGGUUCAGACUGAGAACUGUGGGCCAAAACCAUUCAGGUACGAAGAUGCAUGGCAGAAGGAGGAGUCACAUGAUGCAGCUUUUAUGGAUGGUUGGGAGCAAAGGAUUGUCCAGGGUGGAUUAGCUGGGCUAAGCAACACACUGAUACAUAUGCAAGACCACCUUAGUGACGGGAAAAAUAAGAAGUUUGGAGACAUAAAGCGGAAAAUUCGAAAAGUACGUAAGGAGUUUGAAAGGGAGCGGUCUAAUGCUCUGUACCGUGGGACAUCUAGAAGAGAAAGGGAGUUAGCGAGGCAACUGAAUGACCUUCUACACAAGGAGGAGAUUAUGGCGAGGCAGCGAUCGAGGGUGGAUUGGCUGCGAGAAGGAGAUAGAAAUACGUGA